rnacentral:miRNA from 1 species
AGAAGUAGCAGGUUCCAUAGUU